CUACGGGGGGCAGCAGUGAGGAAUAUUGCACAAUGGAGGAAACUCUGAUGCAGCAACGCCGCGUGGAGGAUGACGCAUUUCGGUGUGUAAACUCCUUUUAUGAGUCAAGAAAAUGACGGUAGCUCAUGAAUAAGCACCGGCUAACUCCGUGCCAGCAGCCGCGGUAAUACGGAGGGUGCAAGCGUUACUCGGAAUCACUGGGCGUAAAGGACGCGUAGGCGGGAUAUCAAGUCAGGUGUGAAAUCCUACAGCUUAACUGUAGAACUGCACUUGAAACUGGUAACCUAGAGUAUGGGAGGGGGAGAUGGAAUUAGUGGUGUAGGGGUAAAAUCCGUAGAUAUCACUAGGAAUACCUAAAGCGAAGGCGAUCUCCUGGAACAUAACUGACGCUAAGGCGUGAAAGCGUGGGGAGCAAACAGGAUUAGAUACCCGGGUAGUC
rnacentral:rRNA from 1 species